rnacentral:rRNA from 1 species
GAUGAACGCUGGCGGCGUGCCUAAUACAUGCAAGUCGAACGCGCAGCGAAAGGUGCUUGCACCUUUCAAGCGAGUGGCGAACGGGUGAGUAACACGUGGAUAACCUGCCUCAAGGCUGGGGAUAACAUUUGGAAACAGAUGCUAAUACCGAAUAAAACUUAGUAUCGAAAGAUACAAAGUUAAAAGGAGCUCCGGCGUCACCGAGAGAUGGAUCCGCGGUGCAUUAGUUAGGUGGUGGGGUAAAGGCUUACCAAGAGGAUGAUGCAAAGCGGGGUUAAGAGACUGAUCGGCCACAUUGGGACUGAGACACGGCCCAAACUCCUACGGGAGGCUGCAGUAGGGAAUCUUCCACAAUGGGCGCAAGCCUGAUGGAGCAACGCCGCGUGUGUGAUGAAGGCUUUCGGGUCGUAAAGCACUGUUGUAUGGGAAGAAAUGCUAAAAUAGGGAAUGAUUUUAGUUUGACGGUACCAUACCAGAAAGGGACGGCUAAAUACGUGCCAGCAGCCGCCGUAA